rnacentral:rRNA from 1 species
AUGAACGCUAGCGGCGUGCUUAAGGUAUGCAAGUCGAUCGGCUUUUCUCCGCAAGGGGAUUAGUAGAGGCGGACGGGUGAGUAAUGCGUGGGAAGAUACCCUCAGGUGGUGAAUACCCAGCCGAAAGGUUGGCUAAUACACCGUGGUCUCCGGUAGUAAUAUCGGAGUAUAGGGUCGCCGUAAGGUGACUCGCCAGAGGAUUCGCCUGCGUCCCAUCAGCUAGUUGGUAGGGUAAUGGCCUACCAAGGCUUUGACGGGUAGCUGGACUGAGAGGUCGGCCAGCCACAAGGGCACUGAGACACGGGCCCUACACCUACGGGUGGCAGCAAUCGGGAAUCUUGCGCAAUGGGCGAAAGCCUGACGCAGCGACGCCGCAUGAAGGAUGAAGGCUUUCGGGUCGUAAACUUCUGUAAAUAGCACCGGCAAACUACGU